CUCCUGCCGUAACAGCUGCGUCGACGAGGGUCAGUCUGAGCCCAUGAGGAGAGAAACGGUGUUGGAUCCGGGCGCCACGGGGCAGUGACACUGCAGCAGCCAGCUAGAGGAAGCAGAAGCGCACUGGUAUUUUCAAGUGGAAGCCGGUUCCUGCGAGGAGAGGACGAAGGCCUCAGGCCUGACCUCCUGCUUCAGGACCCCCGUCAGGAGGAAUUCUGCAGACAGGAGGGGCAGACCGGCCCGGGAUGCCAGGGAGCAGCGUGGCAAGUCCUGGGGGCAGGCUGCUCUGCCUUUGUUGUGGCACUGUUCCUCACUGCUGAGGCCUUCCCUGCUUCGUCUUCAUCUGUGUCACUGUCCAAGUUGAAAGCUGAAGAUGGUCCAGAGCCACCUAGGGCUGAAGGCCCCUCAUCAUCACUGCAAGGGAUCAGAAAGAGUCAAUAGCACCUCCUUCCCAGGAGAGGACAGCCUACUGCUUGAGGGCAGGUACUGCCGAAGACACGCAGUCGCCCUACAGGCUCCAAGCUAUACCCCAAGGAUUCACCAGAUUGCUCUGUUUCCUCCUCUUCUUCAGCAGCCCAGUCAAUAGCCUGGGUGUCUUCCAUGGCCUAAAAAGAAACACAUUGCUAUCAUCCAUCUCCAGUUUGUACACUGUGUCAGAAGAGGGUGGUACCUGGAGUAAACCUGGGGAGCGACAGAAGUUGAUGCUUCUCUUUCCAUCAUUCUGUUGUUAUGCUUCUGAAAUGUUUAAAUAAAAUUCUGAAGCCAA